rnacentral:rRNA from 1 species
CCUACGGGUGGCAGCAGUGGGGAAUAUUGCUCAAUGGGGGAAACCCUGAAGCAGCGACGCCGCGUGAGUGAUGAAGUAUUUCGUUAUGUAAACUCCUUUUAGUAGGGAAGAAUAUGACGGUAUCUGACUAAUAAGCCCCGGCUAACUACGUGCCAGCAGCCGCGGUAAUACGUAGGGUGCAAGCGUUAUCCGGAUUUACUGGGCGUAAAGGGUGCGUAGACGGCUUAUCAAGUCAGAAGUGAAAUCCCUGGGCUCAACUUCGGAACUGCUUUUGAAACUGUGUAGCUGGAGUGUGGGAGAGGUAGGCGGAAUUCCUGGUGUAGCGGUGAAAUGCGUAGAUAUUAAGAGGAACACUAAUGGCGAAGGCGGCCUACUGGACCAUAACUGACGUUGAUGCACGAAAGCGUGGGGAGCAAACAGGAUUAGAUACCCCAGUAGUC